GAGAAUUUUUAGGGAUUGAUUUCGAUCUUCCCGAACCUUCUUUUUCAUCCUAAACACCUGUGCAUUUGUUUGUUUGUGCGUAAAAAACACAAACAAACAAACAAUUUUAAACACACAAACACUAUGUUUUUUUGAACGUAAAAAAUAUUUUAACAAAUAUA
rnacentral:misc_RNA from 1 species